CAACCAUGUCACAUUGAAACACCAGUUCCUGUACAAUCACUAAAGUUAAGCAAUGUCAAGCCUGGUCAGUAUCUAAAUGGGUGACUACUUGAGAAUACCAGGUGCUGUAAG